rnacentral:ncRNA from 1 species
GCAGAGUAAACAAGGCGCGUAAAGUGUUGCAGAAUGGGAUGUUGUCUGCAAACGAAAAUCGACUUGCGAUUGCGGUGUCUUGUUGCGUCCGUUG